rnacentral:rRNA from 1 species
GGAUGAGCCCGCGGCCUAUCAGCUUGUUGGUGGGGUAAUGGCCUACCAAGGCAACGACGGGUAGCCGGCCUGAGAGGGUGACCGGCCACACUGGGACUGAGACACGGCCCAGACUCCUACGGGAGGCAGCAGUGGGGAAUAUUGCACAAUGGGCGAAAGCCUGAUGCAGCGACGCCGCGUGAGGGAUGACGGCCUUCGGGUUGUAAACCUCUUUCAGCUCUGACGAAGCCUUCGGGUGACGGUAGGAGCAGAAGAAGUACCGGCCAACUACGUGCCAGCAGCCGCGG